rnacentral:rRNA from 1 species
CCAAGCUAAUAAGAGCCAACGGUGGAUGCCUUGGCGCCAAGAACCGAUGAAGGACGUGAGUGACUGCGAAAAGCUGCGGGGAGCCGUCUACUAGGCACUGAUCCGCAGAUGUCCGAAUGGGGAAACCCAGCACUCGUCAUGGAGUGUUACCGCUGCCUGAACACAUAGGGCAGUAGGAGGGAACCGGGGGAAUUGAAACAUCUCAGUACCCCGAGGAAAGGAAAGCAACCGCGACACCCUGAGUAGCGGCGAGCGAAAAGGGUAGAGACCAAACCGUGCCAGUGCCAAGCCUGAUGGCGUUGCUGGUGCGGGGUAGUGGGACCAGGAGACACAGCAUCAGAUGUGUCACGAAUUACAAGUGCUGCAUAGGAGAACGACUCAGGAAAGGGUCGGCCAGAGUGGGUAACAGCCCCGUAUCCGAAAUGUACGCACUAUUCGCCUGCCAUCCCAAGUAACGCCGGAACCGAGAAAGCCGGCGUGAAUCUGUGGGGACCACCCCAUAAGUCUAAGUAUUCCUUGGCGACCGAUAGUGAACCAGUACCGUGAGGGAAAGGUGAAAAGUACCCCGGGAGGGGAGUGAAAUAGUACCUGAAACCGUUGGUUUACAAACAGUCAGAGCGUCGUCAUGCCUUCGGGUAUGGCCGCGAUGGCGUGCCUUUUGAAGAAUGAGCCUGCGAGUUACGGUGUGUGGCAAGGUUAACCAGUGAUGGGAAGCCGAAGCGAAAGCGAGUCUGAAUAGGGCGUAGAGUCGCAUGCUGUAGACCCGAAGCCAAGUGAUCUAUCCAUGGCCAGGUUGAAGCGGAGGUAAGACUCCGUGGAGGACCGAACCCACGUCAGUUAAAAAUGGCGGGGAUGAGCUGUGGAUAGGGGUGAAAGGCCAAUCAAACUUGGCGAUAGCUGGUUCUCCUCGAAAUGCAUUUAGGUGCAGCGUCGCGUGUUCAGUACCGGAGGUAGAGCACUGAAUGGGUAAGGGGACCUACAAGUCUACCAACCCCAAUCAAACUCCGAAUGCCGGUACUCCAGAGCGCGGCAGUGAGACCACGAGGGAUGAGCUUCGUUGGUCGAAAGGGAAACAGCCCAGAUCAUCAGCUAAGGCCCCUAAUUCAGGACUAAGUGGAAAACGAUGUGGGAUUGCACAGACAGCCAGGAGGUUGGCUUAGAAGCAGCCACCCUUGAAAGAGUGCGUAAUAGCUCACUGGUCGAGUGAUCCUGCGCGGACAAUGUAACGGGGCUCAAGUCCUGAGCCGAAGCUAUGGGUUUCGAUGAGACUUCGGUCGAUUCGGAGCGGUAGAGGAGCGUCGAUGGUGCAGCGAAGCGGCGGUGUAAACCAGUCGUGGAGCGCCAUCGAGUGAGAAUGCAGGCAUGAGUAACGAGAGAGGGGUGAGAAACCCCUCCGCCGAAAGCCCAAGGGUUCCUGGGGAAGGCUAAUCCCCCCAGGGUGAGUCGGGAGCUAAGGCGAGGCCGAAAGGCGUAGUCGAUGCACAACUGGUUGAUAUUCCAGUACCACCGUGUUCGCGCCAAGUCCAAGAGUCGCAACGUUGGGGCUGUUACCUUCGGGUAGCGAGCCGACCGAGUAGCUGGCGGAUAGUUGACGGGGGACGCAGGAGGAUAGGUGAACCCGGGCGAUGGUAGUCCCGGGGUAAGCGUGUAGGUGGGUUCCGAUGAGAGUUGGAGCCGUUGAACACUGAGACGUGAUGCCGAGCGAUAUACCGCGAAGUCACUGAUUCCAUGCUGCCAAGAAAAGCCCAGCAACGAGUUGACACGGUGCCCGUACCCCAUACCGACACAGGUGGGCGGGUAGAGAAUACCAAGGCGAGCGGGAGAACUAUGGUUAAGGAACUCGGCAAAUUACCUCCGUAACUUCGGAAGAAGGAGGACCCUUUUUGGUGAAAGCCUUUACGGCUCGAGCUGAGGAGGGUGGCACAGACCAGGGGGUAGCGACUGUUUACCAAAAACACAGCAGCGUGCGAAGCCGCAAGGCGCUGUAUACGCUGUGACGCCUGCCCAAUGCUUGAAGGUCACGGGGAACGGUUAGCUCUUCGGAGCGAAGCUGUGAACCUAAGCCCAAGUGAAUGGCGGCCGUAACUAUAACGGUCCUAAGGUAGCGAAAUUCCUUGUCGGGUAAGUUC